rnacentral:lncRNA from 1 species
CAGCCCAGAACACAAGCCAGUAAGCAACACUCCCCAACAGCCUCUGCUUCAGCUCCUGCCUCCAGGCUUCUGCCUUGAGCUCCUGAUCUGGCUUUUCUCAGUGAUGGACUGUAACCGGUGAGCUGAAGUAUACCAUUUCCUCUUAACUGUAACCGCUUCGGCUUGGAUGUCAGACUCCCGUUCCACUUCAUAUGUCAGCAUGUCAGUCAUUCGAGGAGUGUCUACAAGCAAGUGACAGAAGGAGGUUCAGCCCUAACUUAUCUAACCCUCUUCAGGCUGAAGACAAAAAGAUAAGACUAAGGAGGUAGAAUAAAGCAUUAGUCACAGACAGCUCCUGCUUAGGCUCUGAAACCUGUAAGGCAUCUGGAGAAUGCUGGAGUCUGGCUUCCUUGAACUGAGAACAUCAAAGGCAAUGAGAAAGACUGAGAGGUACCUCAUCCUCUGUCAGCCUGCGUCAUCUUCCAAGUCUGAGGGUUCUGCAGGCAGAGAGCCAGGCUGCACGCCACGAACCCGUGGCUACCGACUCACUUCUAACUUUUCUGAGUCCAGAGGUCUCCUUUUGAUCAAGAAGGCUUUAAAUAAUAAGAAAAUGGAACCCUGACACUAUUAGGUCGUUCUGGCUAUUGCUUCUAGCCUUUUGCUGCUAGCAGGUUACAACUUGAAACAACAAAAAGAAACCACAUACUCAACUUAAAUAAUGGUAACAAAAUUGAGUAGGAGGGAGAAAAGGAAACUAUGUAAUAAAAGGAGCGGGAGUAACAAGGACACACCCCCCCACCCCACCCCCACCCUGACCCUAGCCAGUGAUCCAUCCUUACUCCAAUGGUGUCAGGCUCCGUUUUCAAGGAUAGGCAUAGAGAAAAAUCUCCCAAUAGCAGGCUGUGGCGCUAAUACCCAGGACUGUACAAACCGCCAUUGCUCAGAACAGUUAAAGCAGUCUCUAGAAUGGCCUUGACAGGCAAGUAUUUUGAAGGGCCCUGUCAAUUUCAGCCAUGCAGCAGUUUCAUGAAGCUCUAGUGAGCCCUGAGCAGCAAUGUAGCAAGGGAGACAACAGGAGUUCCUGGAGAGGGAUGGCUUCGGCAUAUAGAAAUCUCAGCAGUGUUCAGAACCCAGCAGAGGGGAGAUUUAGAUUUGGAGGGUGGGGGUGAGAGGACUCUACGUAGUACUUACAAGCUUUUACCUGGGCAUAUUUUUAAAAAUUUUCUCUUGUGUGUAGAAUUAGGGGAGGAAUUGCUGGCCACGUGGGAAGUUUAUCAUUCUCAAGACCUGCUGCACUCUUUUCCCAACUGGCUGCACUGUUUUAAAACCCCACGUGCAGAGUAUGAGCCUUCCAGUCUCCUCAUCCUCGUCCAUGGUUGUUACUAUCUGUCCUUUUAUUGCCGCCACCCUAGAAGGAUGUGACAUGUCCUUGUGAUUUUGAUUGGCAUUCCCCUGGCGAUUAAUAACUUGAGCAUCUUUUCUCAAAAAA